rnacentral:rRNA from 1 species
GACGAACGCUGGCGGCGUGCCUAAUACAUGCAAGUCGAACGCUUUUUCUUUCACCGGAGCUUGCUCCACCGAAAGAAAAAGAGUGGCGAACGGGUGAGUAACACGUGGGUAACCUGCCCAUCAGAAGGGGAUAACACUUGGAAACAUGUGCUAAUACCGUAUAACACUAUUUUCCGCAUGGAAGGAAGUUGAAAGGCGCUCUUGCGUCACUGAUGGAUGGACCCGCGGUGCAUUAGCUAGUUGGGGAGGUAACGGCUCACCAAGGCAACGAUGCAUAGCCGACCUGAGAGGGUGAUCGGCCACACUGGGACUGAGACACGGCCCAGACUCCUACGGGAGGCAGCAGUAGGGAAUCUUCGGCAAUGGACGAAAGUCUGACCGAGCAACGCCGCGUGAGUGAAGAAGGUUUUCGGAUCGUAAAACUCUGUUGUUAGAGAAGAACAAGGAUGAGAGUAAAACGUUCAUCCCUUGACGGUAUCUAACCAGAAAGCCACGGCUAACUACGUGCCAGCCGCCGCUGUAA